ensembl:snRNA U6 U6 spliceosomal RNA
AAAUAUUUUUUAUUGAUAUACUAAAAUUGGAACUAUACAGAGAAGAUUAGCAUGGCCCCUGUGCAAGGAUGACACGCAAAUUCAUAAAUCCAGAUUUUU